rnacentral:lncRNA from 1 species
CAACCGAGCCUCAGAAUGGCACACGACGAAACAUCUAACCAUGUCGUAGUAUUGGAAAAAAGUCUGGGAGCAGCUCGCUGUGCUUCCCAUUUACACCCUUACACAGGUUCCACAAGCAGUUCGAAGUCUCAAAUAGAUUGCUGAACAAGACCUCACAAUUUAAGGAUUAUUUCAGUUGUCUAGCAGUCUAGCUUUUGUUAGCUA